GCUGCUAGACUUCCAUGCUGUGAGCUUGAGAUGCUUUCUACCAGCCAGUGUUACUCAUUUUCUAAACAAACUGCAGAAGCAUUAAGCAGAGGCAGGCACAGCUCCAUUUUGCUGAUGUUGAGGAAGACCCUCGCACAGAAGGAGAGAACAACAGCCGGCAAGUACUGGCCUUAAUCUCCUCCUCCAACUUCAUCCCCUUUUCUUAAUGUAUUAUGUUUUUCUAUACUGUAAGCCCAAGAAUAGGGAACUCUUAAAUUAACAAUUGUAAAUUGCUAAUGUAAAGUACCAUGUACUCUGAUGGCAUUGUAUUAAUGAUAAUGAUAGUCCUCUCAAGCACCUUUUCUGUUCUUCAGCAGUUUGUUUCACUGGUUACCAAUAUUAUAUGGUAAUUGAUAAUGUAAAA